ensembl:snoRNA SNORA73 Small nucleolar RNA SNORA73 family
CCAGUGUGUAAUAUCCUGGGAUAUCAUUUUUUUCUAGGCUCUGUCCACAUGGCUUAGGGGAGCAUAGGGCCCUGCCCCAUGAUGUACAGUCCCUUUCCACAGCAUUGGAGAUGAAGCUGGGUCUGGUGUUUGCACUUUCAUAUUCCUGUAGCUUCUCAGAAUCCUGUGGACAAUGACUGGGGAGACAAACCAUGCAGGAAAUAUGU